AGGGAACUCUCUUUCCUUCUCACUGAACUCUAGCUUCAUCAAUAACUCAGUGCCUCUGGCCAAGUUUUUAGCCUCUGGGACAACAUCCACUAUAUCCAUAUGAGGCACUCAUGUAACACGGUGAUUAAGAGUACAGAUGCUGAAGCCAGCAGCCUAAGUCUGAAUCCUGACUGCCAAUUAUUAAUAUAAGUUGUGGAACCAUGGUCAAGUUACUCAACCUCUUUAUGCCUCUGUCUCCUGGUCUACGAAAUGAAGCUUUGAAUCUGCUGUUAUUAAGUUGCUGGUGCUGAAAUAACACUUAUUAUUUAUGAUCUAACUGAAAUGGGAACACUGGAAACUUCUUUGAAACUGAAGAAAAAAAUGAAAAAGAAGUUUUUACAAUCAAAACUGCCAUGAAGACUGCUUUACCCAAAAUUUUGGUCCACAGCUUUCAUUGAAUUACUUAUCAGGGCAAACAAAGUUUAGCCAUGUGAACACGUUCCAAUUUUGUUGGAAAUAAUUUGGAUCCAGCUAUCUUUAUACAAUGGUGAGUUCGUAUUGCAUCUCAUGGCUAAAAU
rnacentral:lncRNA from 10 species